GUGGGGAAUUUUGGACAAUGGGCGCAAGCCUGAUCCAGCAAUGCCGCGUGCAGGAAGAAGGCCUUCGGGUUGUAAACUGCUUUUGUACGGAACGAAACGGUCCGGGUUAAUACCCUGGGCUAAUGACGGUACCGUAAGAAUAAGCACCGGCUAACUACGUGCCAGCAGCCGCGGUAAUACGUAGGGUGCGAGCGUUAAUCGGAAUUACUGGGCGUAAAGCGUGCGCAGGCGGUGCUGUAAGACAGGCGUGAAAUCCCCGGGCUCAACCUGGGAAUUGCGCUUGUGACUGCAGUGCUUGAGUGCGGCAGAGGGGGAUGGAAUUCCGCGUGUAGCAGUGAAAUGCGUAGAUAUGCGGAGGAACACUGAUGGCGAAGGCAAUCCCCUGGGCCUGCACUGACGCUCAUGCACGAAAGCGUGGGGAGCAAACAGGAUUAGAUACCCUUGUAGUCC
rnacentral:rRNA from 1 species